GUUCUCUUAAGCAGCACAUGCACUAAAAUUGGAACAUUAGAGAGAAAAUUAGGAUGAUUUCUGCACAAGGAUACAGAUUCACAAAACAUGAUAUGUCUUUUC